GACGAACGCUGGCGGCGUGCUUAACACAUGCAAGUCGAACGGAAAGGCCAGUGCUUUCACUGGUACUCGAGUGGCGAACGGGUGAGUAACACGUGGGUGAUCUGCCUUUCACUCUGGGAUAAGCUUGGGAAACUGGGUCUAAUACCGGAUAUGAACUCCCGUUAGUUUGGUGGUUGGAAAGUUUUUUCGGUGCUAGAUGAGGUCGCGGCCUAUCUGCUUGUGGGUGGGGUGUUGUCCUUCCAAGGCGUCGUGGGGGUGCCGGCCUGUGAGGGGGUACGGCACAAUUGGGACUGAGAUACGGCCCAGACGCCUAGGGGAGGAAGAGGGGGGGAAUUUUGAAAAAUGGGCGGAGGCCUGAUCCAGCGACGCCGCGUGGGGGAGGACGGCCUUGGGGUUGUAAACUCCUUUCGACAGGGACGAGGCGUAAGUGAGGGUACCUGUAUAAGAAGCACCGGCUACCUACGG
rnacentral:rRNA from 1 species